rnacentral:rRNA from 1 species
UACGGAGGGUGCAAGCGUUAUCCGGAUUCACUGGGUUUAAAGCGCGCGUAGGUGGCUUCGUAAGUCCGUUGUGAAAGUCAAAGGCUCAACCUUUGAAAGCCGAUGGAUACUGUGAAGCUAGAGUACGGAAGAGGCGAGUGGAAUUCCUGGUGUAGCGGUGGAAUGCGCAGAUAUCAGGAGGAACACCAAUAGCGAAGGCAGCUCGCUGGGACGUUACUGACACUGAGGCGCGAAAGCGUGGGGAGCGAACAGG